AAUCACACUUCGUACCCCGAAAAUUUAACCACAUAUGUAAAAAUGUCUCAGCUUCGAAACAAGCCAUCAUACAUAUACAAGUUUACGAUAUGGGCUGAGCAACAGAAGAAAACGUUACCAUUACGGCCUAUGAAUAACAAUUGCGCAUAUUGCCCCAUCUUGUGAGGAAGGAUCCAGAGAUGUCUUAAGCUAAUUUCACCUUGUACACCACAGAAAAUUGUUAAAAUGAUGUUCCAGACAUAUCAUUACUUUUAAAUAUGAGAUGACAAACUAAAGGUUUUAAAAAGUCCUGAAUAACUGAAAUGGACAAAAAUACACAGAUUUAUUCAGAAUGUCAUACCGAU